AAUCCAUAGGUUAAUGAGGCGAACCGGGGGAACUGAAACAUCUAAGUACCCCGAGGAAAAGAAAUCAACCGAGAUUCCCCCAGUAGCGGCGAGCGAACGGGGAGGAGCCCAGAGCCUGAAUCAGCAUGUGUGUUAGUGGAAGCGUCUGGAAAGGCGCGCGAUACAGGGUGACAGCCCCGUACACAAAAGCGCAUGUGCUGUGAGCUCGAUGAGUAGGGCGGGACACGUGGUAUCCUGUCUGAAUAUGGGGGGACCAUCCUCCAAGGCUAAAUACUCCUGACUGACCGAUAGUGAACCAGUACCGUGAGGGAAAGGCGAAAAGAACCCCGGCGAGGGGAGUGAAAAAGAACCUGAAACCGUGUACGUACAAGCAGUGGGAGCACAGGUUUACCUGUGUGACUGCGUACCUUUUGUAUAAUGGGUCAGCGACUUAUAUUCUGUAGCAAGGUUAACCGAAUAGGGGAGCCGGAGGGAAACCGAGUCUUAAUUGGGCGUUAAGUUGCAGGGUAUAGACCCGAAACCCGGUGAUCUAGCCAUGGGCAGGUUGAAGGUUGGGUAACACUAACUGGAGGACCGAACCGACUAAUGUUGAAAAAUUAGCGGAUGACCUGUGGCUGGGGGUGAAAGGCCAAUCAAACCGGGAGAUAGCUGGUUCUCCCCGAAAGCUAUUUAGGUAGCGCCUCGUGAAUUCAUCUCCGGGGGUAGAGCACUGUUUCGGCUAGGGGGCCAUCCCGGCUUACCAACCCGAUGCAAACUGCGAAUACCGGAGAAUGUUAUCACGGGAGACACACGGCGGGUGCUAACGUCCGUCGUGAAGAGGGAAACAACCCAGACCGCCAGCUAAGGUCCCAAAGUCAUGGUUAAGUGGGAAACGAUGUGGGAAGGCCCAGACAGCCAGGAUGUUGGCUUAGAAGCAGCCAUCAUUUAAAGAAAGCGUAAUAGCUCACUGGUCGAGUCGGCCUGCGCGGAAGAUGUAACGGGGCUAAACCAUGCACCGAAGCUGCGGCAGCGAACGUAUCACUUAAAGCGAUUCAGCGGGUUACGAUUGACGGAGCGAAGCGACGUCAAAGCGUA
rnacentral:rRNA from 1 species